rnacentral:rRNA from 1 species
CAAUAGUGUAUCUUAAUGUUGUUGCAGUUAAAAAGCUCGUAGUUGAAUUUCUGUGGCCCUGUUCCUCCGUUUCGGUGCGAACUGGGGUCACAUCCGCGUUGGAAACUAGAUUGUUCGCAAGAUCAUCUAGGGGAAGGCGCAUUUUACUUUGAAGAAAUUAGAGUGUUCCAGGCAGGCCUUGCUUGAAUAUUACAGCAUGGAAUAAUGGAAGAGGACAGGUCCUUUUUAUUGGUUAUUGGACUUUGUAAUGAUUAACAGGGACAGUUGGGGGUAUUCGUAUUCAGCAGUCAGAGGUGAAAUUCUUAGAUUUGCUGAAGACGCACUAAAGCGAAGGCAUUUACCAAGGAUGUUUUCAUUAAUCAAGAACGAAAGUUAGGGGAUCAAAGAUGAUUAGAUACCGU